rnacentral:rRNA from 1 species
GGACCCGCACAAGUAGUGGAGCAUGUGGUUUAAUUCGAAGAUACGCGCAGAACCUUACCAACACUUGACAUGUUCGUCGCGACUUUAAGAGAUUAAAGUUUUCGGUUCGGCCGGACGAAACACAGGUGCUGCAUGGCUGUCGUCAGCUCGUGUCGUGAGAUGUUGGGUUAAGUCCCGCAACGAGCGCAACCCUCACUUUUAGUUGCCAUCAUUAAGUUGGGCACUCUGAAAGAACUGCCAGUGAUAAGCUGGAGGAAGGUGGGGAUGACGUCAAGUCCUCAUGGCCCUUACGUGUUGGGCUACACACGUGCUACAAUGGUAUCUACAACAGGAAGCAAGACUGCGAAGUUAAGCAAAUCCCUAAAAGAUACCUCAGUUCGGAUUGCACUCUGCAACUCGAGUGCAUGAAGCUGGAAUUACUAGUAAUCG